UUCCCUUUGUCAUCCUAUGCCUGGAGCUCACAGUGAGGCAGGGCCAGCAAAGGGUUGC
rnacentral:pre_miRNA from 1 species